GACUGUCCUGAUCUUGGAAUGAGUGAAAAGGAGGGUGGUGAGAUUAUAUAAACUCAGUGAGUGAACAAAUAUCAUCUAAAAUAUCUAAAGUCGAGUAAAUGGAGACAAUUUAAAAUAGUUCAUCGUACUAUGAUUCAUAACGUUUCAAACUCAUUUCAACUAAAUAAAAUAAUUUCAUUUCACUCAAAUAAUCAACAUGGCUUAUGAAUUUCUUAAAAACUUGGCUCGUGCCAAAACUCAUUCUCGGGGAUACCUUGAUCAGAGGCAUCCAACCAAGUCCGCCAAGGCUGUUAAAGAAAAGACAUAUAUCCAUAAAUCAUAUUUGUACGUUUUAAAACAUAGCCAUUCCUUGGCAUUGGCUGAGUUCACCCUCACGUGGUGGUUUAGAGUAUAGUGAACUCUAAAGCUUUUCCUCAGGAGAUACCCUCCGUGCCUCUCGUACCGAGGUAAAAUAUAACCGAGUUUAACGUGUCCCUCUCUAAUAGGCUGGUCCACGGAAACCCACCACUGCAGUGACUAAUCAAUAUCCCACCAAAUCAAUAAAAGUUUCGACAGCAUGACAUGGCAAUUAUAUUACUACCCAGUUUGUUAAGGCAAAACAAACAAUUCAUACAAUUUCAACACAAUUUCCAAUUCAGCCAUUCAUGCCAAUAUCACCAUAAGCCAUUCAAUUCAAACCAUAAAUUUACAACACAAUCAAACAGUCUCCAAUUACUCAAUUUCUAAAAUCA
rnacentral:lncRNA from 1 species